GAUGAACGCUGGCGGCGUGCCUAAUACAUGCCAGUCGAGCGAACAGACGAGGAGCUUGCUCCUCUGACGUUAGCGGCGGACGGGUGAGUAACACGUGGAUAACCUACCUAUAAGACUGGGAUAACUUCGGGAAACCGGAGCUAAUACCGGAUAAUAUAUUGAACCGCAUGGUUCAAUAGUGAAAGACGGUUUUGCUGUCACUUAUAGAUGGAUCCGCGCCGCAUUAGCUAGUUGGUAAGGUAACGGCUUACCAAGGCAACGAUGCGUAGCCGACCUGAGAGGGUGAUCGGCCACACUGGAACUGAGACACGGUCCAGACUCCUACGGGAGGCAGCAGUAGGGAAUCUUCCGCAAUGGGCGAAAGCUUGACGGAGCAACGCCGCGUGAGUGAUGAAGGUCUUCGGAUCGUAAAACGCUGUUAUUAGGGAAGAACAAAUGUGUAAGUAACUAUGCACGUCUUGACGGUACCUAAGCAGAAAGCCACGGCUAACUACGU
rnacentral:rRNA from 1 species